GCCUAACACAUGCAAGUCGAACGAGAAAGUUCCUUCGGGAGCAAUUAAAGUGGCGCACGGGUGAGUAACGCGUAGACAAUCUGCCCUUCAGUCUGGGACAACUUUUCGAAAGGAGAGCUAAUACCGGAUAACAAUGCAUGACACAAGUUGUAUAUUUGAAAGCUUUAUGUGCUGAAGGAGGGGUCUGCGUCCCAUUAGCUAGUUGGUAGGGUAAAGGCUUACCAAGGCAACGAUGGGUAGCGGGUUUGAGAGGACGAUCCGCCACACUGGAACUGAGACACGGUCCAGACUCCUACGGGAGGCAGCAGUGGGGAAUAUUGCACAAUGGAGGAAACUCUGAUGCAGCAAUGUCGCGUGAGUGAAGAAGGCCCUUGGGUCGUAAAGCUCUUUUAUGGGGGAAGAUGAUGACGGUACCCCAAGAAUAAGCACCGGCUAACUAUGUGCCAGCAGCCGCGGUAAUACAUAGGGUGCGAGCGUUGUUCGGAAUUACUGGGCGUAAAGGGCGCGCAGGCGGAAUAGUAAGUCGGAGGUGAAAGCCCGGGGCUCAACCCCGGAGGGUCUUUCGAAACUACUAAUCUAGAGAGGGUCAGGGGCCGGCAGAAUUCCUGGUGUAGAGGUGAAAUUCGUAGAUAUCAGGAGGAAUACCGGUGGCGAAGGCGGCCGGCUGGGGCCACUCUGACGCUGAGGCGCGAAAGCGUGGGGAGCAAACAGGAUUAGAUACCCUGGUAGUCCACGCCGUAAACGAUGAGCACUGGACGUCCGGAGGGUUCGACCCUUCUGGGUGUCUCAGCUAACGCAUUAAGUGCUCCGCC
rnacentral:rRNA from 1 species